GCACAAUGAUGAGUUCCUCCUAGGUUGUGCUGAGAGCCUUCAAUUGCUAUUGAUUUUCCACAGAGUACAAGUGGAGUAUUUAACCAGAUAACCAAGCUGAUGUGCAGCACUCCACUUCCAAAUUUGGCUUUGAAGCAGGAGCAGCAGAUGUAUCAAUUACAUACAAACAUAAACAUAACUGUAUGAAGCAAUCAUGUUUCUAACAACAGUAAGCAGUGCACAGAAGACCAAAAUAAAUAAAAUUCAUAGAACAAGAGGUAGUGACAAAUCCAUAAACAUAUAGAUGACUCACAGAAACCAUAAAUGGUUGUGGAGAGGAGCUGGAAUUUGCAUUUCAUCCCGAGGGGGCGAGCUCUCAUGCGAGUCUCUUGUGGAAGGGCAUUUCACAUAUAUGUGGAAGCCACUGAGGAAGCACGGCCCUUCUGCUUUCACCAGUUUCAGUCUAGUUCUCGAC